rnacentral:rRNA from 1 species
UGCCAGCCGCCGCGGUAAUACGGAGGGUGCAAGCGUUAUCCGGAUUUAUUAGGUUUAAAGGGUCCGUAGGCGGGCUAAUAAGUCAGAGGUGAAAUCCCACAGCUUAACUGUGGAACUGCCUUUGAUACUGUUAGUCUUGAGUUAUAUGGAAGUAGAUAGAAUAUGUAGUGUAGCGGUGAAAUGCUUAGAUAUUACAUAGAAUACCGAUUGCGAAGGCAGUCUACUACGUAUAUACUGACGCUAAGGGACGAAAGCGUGGGGAGCGAACAGGAUUAGAUA